UCCAAGGCUCAGCAGAAGGUUUCGUGUGUGUUGCUUGCUGCUACUUUUCACCGCACCGCGCGGCCCUGGCCCUGGGCCCUAAGGCAGCGGCGCCUUCUCGCGCUCCGAGGAUCGGCCGUGCAGGAUUUGCCUGGAGAAGGGCCUCUCUCCAGCCCUGAGUGCUUUGAAAGUAUAAAAAUUGGAUCCCUACCUAGGCGAUCAAGGCGCCUAAAAUGAAGGAGGGCAGCAAUGGGAUCAGAAAUGCGUGCUUCCUGUCUGAUGGUCACAGUGGCUGCUUCAGCUGCAAACAGCACAUCUUCAUGUUUAAGGAGGAAGUGGACACAAAAACAUCACUUGGGAGAGAUACCCAUGACACCAGAAAAGAAAAGGGAUUCCCACUAGAAUGCUGAAAAGAACCCACUGGGCUGUCCCGAGGCCUGAGAUUCCUCCUCAUGGUUUUGUGGUGAUGGCUGGCCUCCCCCAGCAUGGCCUGCUUGCCUGAUGCCUGGACACCACCUCCAGCACUGGACACCUGACCUGCACAGCUGGACCCUGGGUUCUGAACGGCAUCCCCUGACCACGAGAGUCUGUCUCUGCUGCCCAAUUCAAGGAAACCAAGCACGCCGGUUGCUGAAGAAGCGAUUCUUACCCCAUUGGCUUGAAUGAGAUUAUUGUCAGAGAGAUACUGAGGAGAAAGCAGAACAAAAAAGAUCUAAGUAAAAAAAGAACGAACCAGACAAUCAUGGAGCAGAGGCAGCAGAUCUGGGCGGUCAGUGGUGUGGGCCUGGGGUCAAAUGCACUGGGGUCGAACCCUGGCCCUGCUGCUGAAGAGCUGGUCACUUGGGCAAAUUGACUAAUCUCAUCCAGUCUCAGUUUUUUCAUCUAGAUGAAGAGCUGAUGGGAGAAGUGACUGGGGCAGGAAGCCUUCCCGGGUCCACUGAAAGUGAGCCCCAGGGCAGCUGCUGGGCACCUGGCUGAGCCUGGGCCUUCUUCCCCUGGGCCAUGCCAAUUGCAGUCUCACCUGGGGCCUACCUCCUGAGCUUGGAAGGAAUCUGAACACCAGGAAAAGCAAACAAAGAGGCAACCACCCCGCAAAGACCAUAAGCAAGCAGCCCACUUGCUCCAGGAACCUGGAGGCUCUCGUGUCUCCCUGGCCCUGGAGCUGCUGGCCGUGUGGUCCUGGAUACACUGUGUUUCCUUCCAGAGUCUUGGUUUCUUCAUCUUCAGAAUGAGAGAGGCCCACAUUUCCCAACUUUUAACAUUCGCACAACUGGCCAACUUAGGGAGCUGCACAGAGCCCAAGUGAGAGGCCCACGGGGCUCCUGCCAUCCGGGCAGCAGCCGAGUCUCUGCAAACGUCAUGAGGAGGAGGUGUGUGUGUCUACAGUUCUUGUGUGGUUUUGUUUGCUUCCUCUUGAAAUCGUACCUCCUCCGGGAUCCUUUACAAACUGCUGUGAAGAGAAUGAAGGACUCCCGGGACUUCCUUGUUCACCCGCCCACUGAUGCACGUGCCCUUGCCUGUGUGCAGUGUGGGUGAUCUUGCCUAGUCAUGCUUUCAGCCCGUAUUUCCACUUCAAACGUCUGCACAGCCCCUGUGCGUUCACCCCCACUGUGCUCCCAUGCUCUGUGAGAUGUCACUUGCUCUCUGGUGCCCGGAGACCCUGUUUUUUCAUGGCUCCUCACUUGCUCUAAUGAUUUGGGGGCUGGUUGGCUCGUAGUUUCAGCGAUGGCAGUGAAGAUGUUCAUGAUUCUAUCUCCUUCCUCCUGGCUCAUCUGUUGGCUGGUUCCGAGUCCCCCCACCCCUGCCCCCUCACUAAUACUUUCAAUCUUCCUUACUGGAGGUGGCACCUCUGGGGGGGACUCCACACAUGCCCUCGUCAAACUGGAUACCACCCUUCCCCGCUCUAUGUGCUAAUCCCGGGUUAGGUUCUGAGGGUGCCACAGGGGAUGCCCAAGGCAUGGUUUUGGCACGUAAAAAAUUUCUGGUUAACUUAGAGAGAGAAUGAGUGAGUCAUAUGACAGCAUAAUAUUGAGAGCUCUCGAUAUUAUGAUAGGGUUCCCUUAAGUGUAGGAAGUAAUUCAGAGAAGAGACAAGAAGAUGAAAUCAAAGCAGUGGGAAUUAGGGGAGGUGUGAUCCAGUCCCAGAGAUGGUACCCCCUUACUGUGUGACCUCCCCCUCUCUGGGCUUCAGUUAUCUGAUCAAUAAAAUAAGGAGAUAGGUUAUGUUAACUUAAACUCUAAGAUUUAAUAAUUGUGAGACUUCUGGGAUGAAGAGGGACUUAAGAUUUGCCCCCACGUGAGGAGGCUUUGAAUGAGGGACUAGAGGAGCCGGUGGGUACUUUCUUGAAGUCGCUACUCAGCAAGUCCCAGGGCUGCCCCUUGGUCGCAUCUCCUCAUCAUGACGGCACCCUCCUCUCGGUUCAAUGCUACCUCCCCAGGUUGGCCUCAGUGCUUUCUCCCUCCCUCCUCCCCUCUUCCAAGCCUAGAUUUUUCCAGCGUUUGUAAUUGGUCCUCUGCUUCCCUCAGACAUCACUGAGUCAAGCUCAGCCAGUUCCCUCCCUCUUGAUGCAUCUCUUUUAUCCCUCUGCUUUUGGACCUUCCUCCCCCACCAUCACUGCUUUCCCUUUCCCAGAACCUUGACUCCAGCUCAUCCGUCUUUGCGGAGCGUGGCUGGUCCUGGCGUUCCCCUUCCAGUGCAUUCGGGGGACAGGUGCUGUUGGGAUGCACACAUGGAGAGAAUGAGAUGCUCCUCCCUCCCUGGAUACAGGGAGGAUAAUGAUAUGAGCGCCCCCCUCCCAGGGCAUGAUGAUAAUCAGUGAGUUAAUGCCCAUAAAGUAUUAUAAUUACUCCAUGGAGUCAUCUGAUGGAGCGAUGAGGAACUGGGCAUCUGGCUCUAAUUUACUUAGAGCUGGAGAAUUCAAGCAGAAGCGGCAGCCUCAAUUUUUUUUUUUUCUUUUUGUACCAACCACUCACCCAAUGCAGAGCAGUAUUUCUAAACAGAGGCUGACAUUGCCUAGUGAGAUAUAAGUAUACUGAAUUCUUGAUUUGGGAGACCUAAAUAUCCUGUUCAUUACAGAUAUCCUUGUCCACCCCCCCCCACUGCCCCUCACCUUUGAUGCAUUAGGAAACAGGUUCUGGGCCCUUCAGUGACAUAAUAUCAACCACCCAGCUGAUUGGUAAUUGAAUAAACCUCAGCUCAUUCUAGCCAUGUGCUGUUUUCCGCCCCCCAUCCUUCCUCCUUCCCUUCUUUCUUUCCUUCCUUCCUUCCUUCUUCCCUCCCUCCCUCCUUUCCUUCCUCUUUCCCUCCACGUGUAUUGGUUGGGGUCCCUCCUACGGUGCAACCCCAGGCUGGACAUGACACCAGGUUUCCUCUUUUGGGCGCCCAGGCAGCAGGGGAAGGAGAAGAAAUUGCCAGCCUAGAACUCAAUGGCACAGAGCCAGUUCUCUUAACCGAGUCACGCAGCCCUUGCUUCCCGUGCAUCCACCAGCCACGUCUCCAUCUAUUGCCUCCCAGCAUCUGCCCCUGCCCGGUGCUGCUCUUUCUUCUACAUCUUUGCUCAUGCUGUUCCUCCAUCCACAGAUCUCUUCCUCUUGCUAAUCCGCUGAGACACAACCUUCUCCUUUCAAAAACCUUCCGAAAGCACGUUUCUGCCUCACCCCACACUCACCAAGAAGCAUUUCAUCCUGAAUCCUGCUGACAGAGGACCGUGUCAUUUAGCUGUUCAUUCUCUGCAUCUCUCAGGCUCUUUUGGCUCACCGCUGUCCAGACUUGCAUGGCAGACAGACAUGUUGUUACAUGGCGGAUUUGGUGGGGAAGACCAUGCCCCUUGCUUCACUUGUUAGCUCUACGAGGUCAGCACCAAACCCCUUUGCCUGGUAUUCCUGGCUCAUCAGGGUCUGUUCCCACCUUUCCAACUGUCUAGCCAUCUCUUGCCCCACGGGAGUCCCAGUCUCUGGCUGUGUCAUUUCCAUCAUCCCUGCAAGCAAAUGGCCAUCCCUUGUAACAUCAGGACCACCGCCCUGACCCUGUUCAGUGUCCACCUCACCCGGAGCCCAGCCCGUUCAUCCAUGAACUUGGGUAUUACGAAUACUGACUAUCUCAGUCCAGGCAGAUGUCUCUCCCCUCAGACCUCCUCCCGCAUUCCAGCUUUGUCCCUAUCAAAACAUGUAAGCCUUAUUUCUGUCUUCAGAGUAUAAUACCUUGGAAAUAGAGAUGUUAAUUAGAAUAGAAAACCAAUAAACCUCAAUUAAUACUAGUCGAUUAAUGAUUUGCUGGUGUUACUAGGCUACUAAUCUAAUUUCUGGACUUUGGUGUUGAGUCUAUUGCCUAUGGUAGGCAGCUGAGGUCACAGGUUCUGCCGGGCCCAGACUCAGGGGUGGAAAGGUUAUGAACUCUGGUUCUGGGGGGAGGUGAACCAAAAGAAUUAUUAGAAUAAAGUGGCAGCACCUCAAGUUAAUGCCCAUAAAUGGUGAGUCCUUUGCAGCAAACAGUGUAGUUCUUCUGGUCCUGUUAUAAUUCUGUUAAGGGGAAUGGUCAUUUGUUAAUAUACAUGAGUCUCAUGCUUCCUGGGGACUCUCAUUCUGCUAAAACAUUGAACACACUUGUAAACCGAAGCACAUUCUGCUCCCUGGCAGGUAGUAAUGGCUGGGAGAGAAAAUAGCUACUUUCAGGUCAAACGAAUAAAUGUUUACAUUGGUCAAAGAAAUUAAAA